GCCUUUUCAAAAAGAUGAUAAAUUUAGUAGUUUCCAUAUUUUUGUUGUUGAGCUGCAGUUUCCUUUACUUGUUUUUAUUCAAUUUAUAAUCUUUCAAGUUGACUGCUUUAAGGAUAUUUACCAGAUUGUUGUAUUACCAACACAAAGUCAAUCCUCCCAACAACUUCUCAGUCCCAAACAAGUGAUAUAUUUGAAACAGCCUAAUUUUUAUUUGAA
rnacentral:misc_RNA from 1 species